GAAAAUUGUCACAAUCUUAGGAGUAUUCCACCUCUUAAGUUGGAUUCACUAGAAACAUUUGACCUUUCAUGUUGUUAUAGUCUUGAGAGUUUUCCACUUGUGGUGGACGGUUUUCUUGGAAAACUUAAAACCUUACUUGUUACAAGUUGUCACAAUCUUAAGAGUAUCCCACCGCUCAAGUUGGAUUCUUUAGAAACACUUGACCUUUCAUGUUGUUAUUGGCUCGAAAGUUUUCCACUUGUGGUGGACGGGUUUCUUGGAAAACUUAAAACCCUGCGUGUUACAAGUUGUCACAAUCUCAGGAGUAUUCCACCUCUCAAGUUGGAUUUGCUAGAAGAACUUGACCUUUCAAAUUGUUAUAGGCUCGAGAAUUUUCCACUUGUGGUUCACGGGUUUCUUGGAAAACUUAAAACCCUUCUUGUUACAAGUUGUCACAAUCUCAGGAGUAUUCCACCUCUCCAGUUGGAUUCACUUGAAAAACUUGACCUUUCAAAUUGUUAUAGGCUCGAGAGUUUUCCACUUGUGGUGGAUGGGUUUCUUGGAAAACUUAAAACCCUACUUGUUACAAGUUGUCACAAUCUCAGGAGUAUCCCACCUCUCAAUUUGGAUUCUUUAGAAAAACUUGACCUUUCAUGUUGUU
rnacentral:lncRNA from 1 species